GACGAACGCUGGCGGCGUGCUUAACACAUGCAAGUCGAACGGCAAGGCCCUGCUUUUGUGGGGUGCUCGAGUGGCGAACGGGUGCGUAACACGUGAGUAACCUGCCCUUGACUUUGGGAUAACUUCAGGAAACUGGGGCUAAUACCGGAUAGGAGCUCCUGCUGCAUUGUGGGGGUUGGAAAGUUUCGGCGGUUGGGGAUGGACUCGCGGCUUAUCAGCUUGUUGGUGGGGUAGUGGCUUACCAAGGGUUUGACGGGUAGCCGGCCUGAGAGGGUGACCGGCCAAAUUGGGACCGAGAUAAGGACGAGGAUCCUAAGGGAGGAAGAAGGGGGGAAUAUUGAACCAUGGGCAGAAGGCUGAUGCAGGAACGCCGCGGGCGGGAUGACGGCCUUGGGGGUGAAAACCGCUUGCGCCUGUGACGAAGCGUGAGUGACGGUAAUGGGUAAAGAAGCACCGGCUAACUACGUG
rnacentral:rRNA from 1 species